rnacentral:rRNA from 1 species
UACGUAGGGGGCGAGCGUUAUCCGGAUUCACUGGGUGUAAAGGGAGCGUAGACGGUAGGAUAAGCCAGAUGUGAAAAUCCGGGGCUUAACCCCGGACCUGCAUUUGGAACUGUUUUACUGGAGUACCGGGUGGGCAGGCGGAAUUCCUGGUGUAGCGGUGAAAUGCGUAGAUAUCAGGAGGAACACCGGUGGCGAAGGCGGCCUGCUGGACGGUAACUGACGUUGAGGCUCGAAAGCGUGGGGAG